UAAAUUUGUUCUCGAGUAGGGCGGAACACGUGAAAUUUUGUCUGAAAAUGGGGAGACCACUUACCAAGCCUAAAUACUCCUUGAUGACCGAUAGUGAACUAGUACCGUGAGGGAAAGGUGAAAAGCACCCCGAUAGGGGGAAUGAAAUAGUAUCUGAAACCGAAUGCCUACAAGCAGUCAGAGCUUCUUUAUGAAGUGAUGGCAUACCUUUUGUAUAAUGGGUCAGCGACUUAGUCUGUGCAGCAAGCUUAAGCCGAUAGGUGUAGGCGUAGGGAAACCAAGUCUUAAUAGGGCGUUAGUUGUACGGAUUAGACUCGAAGCGGGAUGAGCUUAAUAUGAGCAGGUUGAAGAUGCAGUAACAUGCAUCGGAGGACCGAACCAGGAAACGUUGAAAUGUUUUUGGAUGACUUGUGUUAAGGGGUGAAAGGCCAACCAAAUUCCGCUAUAGCUAGUUCUCCGCGAAAACUAUUUAGGUAGUGCGUUGUGUGAAUGAUAUCGGGGGUAAAGCACUGGAUGGGCUAGGGGGAAGCGAUUCCUACCAAACCUAACCAAACUCUGAAUACCGAUACUCUAUGCACAGCAGACAGACUAUAGGUGCUAAGGUCUAUAGUCGAGAGGGAAACAGCCCAGAUCACCAGUUAAGGCCCCCAAAUAAUGGCUAAGUGGGAAAGUAUGUAGAAAGUCCAAGACAGGCAGGAGGUUGGCUUAGAAGCAGCCAUCCUUUAAAGAUAGCGUAACAGCUCACUGUUCUAAUUAAGACUUUCCGCGACGAAGAUGUAACGGGGCUCAAGCCAUUUGCCGAAACUGUGACUUUAUAAAUAUUGCGAUAUUUAUAAGGGGUAGCGGAGCGUUCUGUAAGCCGUCGAAGGUAUCUCGAAAGGGGUGCUGGAGGUAUCAGAAGUGCGAAUGCUGACAUGAGUAGCGAUAAAGAGUGUGAGAGACACUCUCGCCGAAAUCCUAAGGUUUCCUGCGUAAAGUUAAUCUGCGCAGGGUUAGUCGACCCCUAAGGCGAGGCAGAAAUGCGUAGUCGAUGGGAAACAGGUUAAUAUUCCUGUACCUUCUGUGAGUUGACGGAUCACGUAAAUUGUAUUUUCUUAUUGGAUUGAGAAUGCAGUGAAGUGGUUCCUGGAAAUAGCCACAGAAUAUAGAUCGUACCAAAACCGACACAGGUAGGAAGGUAGAGUAUACCAAGGCGCUUGAGAGAAUGAUGUUGAAGGAACUCGGCAAAAUGCCCUUGUAACUUCGGAAAAAGAGGGACCAGUAUUUAGGCAACUAAAUAUUGGUGGCACAGAAUAGGGAGAAGCGACUGUUUAUCAAAAACACAGGUCUCUGCUAAGUCGUAAGACGAUGUAUAGGGACUGACGCCUGCCCGGUGCCGGAAGGUUAAAUGGUGGAGUGCAAGCUCUAAAAUGAAGCCCCGGUGAACGGCGGCCGUAACUAUAACGGUCCUAAGGUAGCGAAAUUCCUUGUCGGGUAAGGUCCGACCUGCUUGAAUGGCGUAACGAUUUCUCCGCUGUCUCCAACAUCAACUCAGCGAAAUUGAAUUCUCCGUGAAGAUGCGGAGUACGUGUAGUUAGACGGAAAGACCCCGUGCACCUUUACUAUAG
rnacentral:rRNA from 1 species